rnacentral:rRNA from 1 species
UACGGGGGGAGCAAACGUUGUUCGGAAUCACUGGGCGUAAAGAGCGUGUAGGCGGCCCGAUAAGUCCGCCGUGAAAGUCCAGGGCUCAACCCUGGAAUGCCGGUGGAAACUGUCGGGCUCGAGUGCGGAAGAGGCGAGUGGAAUUCCUGGUGUAGCGGUGAGAUGCGCAGAUAUCAGGAGGAACACCGAUUGCGAAGGCAGCUCGCUGGGACGUUACUGACGCUGAGACGCGAAAGCGUGGGGAGCAAACAGG